rnacentral:lncRNA from 1 species
CAGAAGUGAAAUUCCAAAUCUCGCUUGAGGAAGAAGGUUAAGCAGAGAUCUCAUCUAUUCUCUGAAAAGUAUAGUUGGAUUAUAUAAGUAUAUAUGGGACCAAGUAUGUGAUGGUGAUUAUUGUCAGCUGAUAUUCUUGAAGAGGCAGAAGACGUGCAUAUUUCAGAGUGCUGAGGUCUGCUUUCUACCUGGAGCUCCAUGGAGGCUGCAAACUGAUGGAUCUCUCUAAAGGUCUCCAGCAUGUUUUAUUCUGCUUGCUGAGAAGUAGCAGCAAUUGGCAGAUGCUGCUGCUAGGCUAAGCAAAAAAUGCUUACACCUUUGUACUCAAAAGUGAAACUGAUAACUGUCCCUUGUUUUGUCUGUCUGAAGAACAUGAAGUCCUUCUGAUGGACACUCCGAAAAGAUUUGUUUUGAUGAAAACAAGGGAGUCAAGUUCAUUGCAAUAUUUCAUUGCUUGUGGUGUUUCACUGGAUGUGCCAACUGAAAUACAGAAUCUCAAGCUGGGAAGGACCAAUAGGCUCACAGGGCAAUGACAGAACUGAGCCAAGCUGAGCUGAAAAUAAUUCCCUGGAUUUUUCAACCCUGUGAAGAAGAAGGAUUAGAAAUAUGAUGCCCUGCCGAAUUCAGUUACAAAGAGAUUAGAAGGAAGACAUCCUGCUGAACUCUCUUACAAAGAGGUUGUGACAGUAGCAACCGGGAAGAAGAGCUUUAAACAAAAUGCUAAAAUAAUGAAGCUCCUACCCUUCACUGUACAGUGUGAGGCAGAUACCUGACCUGGCUCUGAGCAAGCGCUACUGUGCUUCCACUGCAUAUAGCAAUACAGGAAUGUUCCUGGUGGGCAUUGACCCAAGCAGAGCCAGUAUUUACAUGGCUGUACUGCAUCUGCUUUCACCUCCAAAUUGGUUUUCUCCCUCCACCACAGCAUUAAAUUGCG